UGGGGGAUAUUGGUCAAUGGGGGAAACCCUGAACCAGCAACGCCGCGUGAGGGAAGAAGGUUUUCGGAUUGUAAACCUCUGUUUUUGGUGACGAAACAAAUGACGGUAGCCAAGGAGAAAGCCACGGCUAACUACGUGCCAGCAGCCGCGGUAAUACGUAGGUGGCAAGCGUUGUCCGGAAUUACUGGGUGUAAAGGGAGCGCAGGCGGGAGAGCAAGUCAGACGUGAAAACUAUGGGCUUAACCCAUAACGUGCGUUUGAAACUGUUUUUCUUGAGUGAAGUAGAGGUAGGCGGAAUUCCGAGUGUAGCGGUGAAAUGCGUAGAUAUUCGGAGGAACACCAGUGGCGAAGGCGGCCUACUGGGCUUUUACUGACGCUGAGGCUCGAAAGUGUGGGGAGCAAACAGG
rnacentral:rRNA from 1 species